rnacentral:rRNA from 1 species
UUAAGCGACUAAGCGUACACGGUGGAUGCCCUGGCAGUCAGAGGCGAUGAAGGACGUGCUAAUCUGCGAAAAGCGUCGGUAAGGUGAUAUGAACCGUUAUAGCCGGCGAUGUCCGAAUGGGGAAACCCAGUGUGAUUCGUCACACUAUCGUUAACUGAAUACAUAGGUUAACGAGGCGAACCGGGGGAACUGAAACAUCUAAGUACCCCGAGGAAAAGAAAUCAACCGAGAUUCCCCCAGUAGCGGCGAGCGAACGGGGAGCAGCCCAGAGUCUGAAUCAGCUUGUGUGUUAGUGGAACGGUCUGGAAAGUCCGACGGUACAGGGUGAUAGUCCCGUACACCAAAAUGCACAGGUUGUGAACUCGAAGAGUAGGGCGGGACACGUGGUAUCCUGUCUGAAUAUGGGGGGACCAUCCUCCAAGGCUAAAUACUCCUGACUGACCGAUAGUGAACCAGUACCGUGAGGGAAAGGCGAAAAGAACCCCGGCGAGGGGAGUGAAAAAGAACCUGAAACCGUGUACGUACAAGCAGUGGGAGCACCUUCGGGUGUGACUGCGUACCUUUUGUAUAAUGGGUCAGCGACUUAUAUUCUGUAGCAAGGUUAACCGUAUAGGGGAGCCGCAGGGAAACCGAGUCUUAACUGGGCGUUAAGUUGCAGGGUAUAGACCCGAAACCCGGUGAUCUAGCCAUGGGCAGGUUGAAGGUUGGGUAACACUAACUGGAGGACCGAACCGACUAAUGUUGAAAAAUUAGCGGAUGACUUGUGGCUGGGGGUGAAAGGCCAAUCAAACCGGGAGAUAGCUGGUUCUCCCCGAAAGCUAUUUAGGUAGCGCCUCGUGAACUCAUCUUCGGGGGUAGAGCACUGUUUCGGCUAGGGGGUCAUCCCGACUUACCAACCCGAUGCAAACUACGAAUACCGAAGAAUGUUAUCACGGGAGACACACGGCGGGUGCUAACGUCCGUCGUGAAGAGGGAAACAACCCAGACCGCCAGCUAAGGUCCCAAAGUCAUGGUUAAGUGGGAAACGAUGUGGGAAGGCACAGACAGCCAGGAUGUUGGCUUAGAAGCAGCCAUCAUUUAAAGAAAGCGUAAUAGCUCACUGGUCGAGUCGGCCUGCGCGGAAGAUGUAACGGGGCUAAACCAUGCACCGAAGCUGCGGCAGCGACACUAUGUGUUGUUGGGUAGGGGAGCGUUCUGUAAGCCUGCGAAGGUGUGCUGUGAGGCAUGCUGGAGGUAUCAGAAGUGCGAAUGCUGACAUAAGUAACGAUAAAGCGGGUGAAAAGCCCGCUCGCCGGAAGACCAAGGGUUCCUGUCCAACGUUAAUCGGGGCAGGGUGAGUCGACCCCUAAGGCGAGGCCGAAAGGCGUAGUCGAUGGGAAACAGGUUAAUAUUCCUGUACUUGGUGUUACUGCGAAGGGGGGACGGAGAAGGCUAUGUUAGCCGGGCGACGGUUGUCCCGGUUUAAGCAUGUAGGCUGAUUGUCCAGGCAAAUCCGGAUAAUCAAGGCUGAGGUGUGAUGACGAGGCACUACGGUGCUGAAGUAACAAAUGCCCUGCUUCCAGGAAAAGCCUCUAAGCAUCAGGUAACAUCAAAUCGUACCCCAAACCGACACAGGUGGUCAGGUAGAGAAUACCAAGGCGCUUGAGAGAACUCGGGUGAAGGAACUAGGCAAAAUGGUGCCGUAACUUCGGGAGAAGGCACGCUGGUGUGUAGGUGAAGUCCCUGCGGAUGGAGCUGAGACCAGUCGAAGAUACCAGCUGGCUGCAACUGUUUAUUAAAAACACAGCACUGUGCAAACACGAAAGUGGACGUAUACGGUGUGACGCCUGCCCGGUGCCGGAAGGUUAAUUGAUGGGGUUAUCCGUAAGGAGAAGCUCUUGAUCGAAGCCCCGGUAAACGGCGGCCGUAACUAUAACGGUCCUAAGGUAGCGAAAUUCCUUGUCGGGUAAGUUCCGACCUGCACGAAUGGCGUAAUGAUGGCCAGGCUGUCUCCACCCGAGACUCAGUGAAAUUGAACUCGCUGUGAAGAUGCAGUGUACCCGCGGCAAGACGGAAAGACCCCGUGAACCUUUACUAUAGCUUGACACUGAACAUUGAGCCUUGAUGUGUAGGAUAGGUGGGAGGCUUUGAAGCGUGGACGCCAGUCUGCGUGGAGCCAACCUUGAAAUACCACCCUUUAAUGUUUGAUGUUCUAACGUUGGCCCCUUACCGGGGUUGCGGACAGUGUCUGGUGGGUAGUUUGACUGGGGCGGUCUCCUCCCAAAGCGUAACGGAGGAGCACGAAGGUUAGCUAAUCCUGGUCGGACAUCAGGAGGUUAGUGCAAUGGCAUAAGCUAGCUUGACUGCGAGCGUGACGGCGCGAGCAGGUGCGAAAGCAGGUCAUAGUGAUCCGGUGGUUCUGAAUGGAAGGGCCAUCGCUCAACGGAUAAAAGGUACUCCGGGGAUAACAGGCUGAUACCGCCCAAGAGUUCAUAUCGACGGCGGUGUUUGGCACCUCGAUGUCGGCUCAUCACAUCCUGGGGCUGAAGUAGGUCCCAAGGGUAUGGCUGUUCGCCAUUUAAAGUGGUACGCGAGCUGGGUUUAGAACGUCGUGAGACAGUUCGGUCCCUAUCUGCCGUGGGCGCUGGAGAAUUGAGGGGGGCUGCUCCUAGUACGAGAGGACCGGAGUGGACGCAUCACUGGUGUUCGGGUUGUCAUGCCAAUGGCACUGCCCGGUAGCUAAAUGCGGAAGAGAUAAGUGCUGAAAGCAUCUAAGCACGAAACUUGCCCCGAGAUGAGUUCUCCCUGAGACUUUAAGUCUCCUGAAGGAACGUUGAAGACGACGACGUUGAUAGGCCGGGUGUGUAAGCGCAGCGAUGCGUUGAGCUAACCGGUACUAAUGAACCGUGAGGCUUAACCU